UUUCAUAGUUCAUCUGAUAUUUCAUUGAAGACUAUCAACAUUUAAAGUCUUUCACCCCUAACUGAUAAUUUUUGCGUAUACAUGUUUUAAUUACUUUAAUAUAGAAAUCACUCUAAGAGCAACAUUAUUUUAUGUUCCAGAUAUUAUUCGUCAAAUUAAAGAGCAUCAUAAAUAUAUUAGUAGAAUUGUGUUGCUCAAACUGAUAUGAUGUUCGCAUAAGUACAAGACGAAAUAUAUACGGUAUGUUGGAAUACAAUGCGACGUGGAUGUUAUGGAUGCAGCAACAUUUGUCAUCAAUUAGAAUAUUCAAAUAUCUUUCUGAAUCUUAUGAAUUAUAUAUUCAUUUUCAUA